AUUGAACGCUGGCGGCAUGCCUUACACAUGCAAGUCGAACGGUAACGGGCCUUCGGGUGCCGACGAGUGGCGAACGGGUGAGUAAUGCAUCGGAACGUACCUUUCAGUGGGGGAUAACGUAGCGAAAGUUACGCUAAUACCGCAUAUUCUGUGAGCAGGAAAGCAGGGGAUCGCAAGACCUUGCGCUGAUUGAGCGGCCGAUGUCAGAUUAGCUAGUUGGUGAGGUAAAGGCUCACCAAGGCGACGAUCUGUAGCGGGUCUGAGAGGAUGAUCCGCCACACUGGAACUGAGACACGGUCCAGACUCCUACGGGAGGCAGCAGUGGGGAAUUUUGGACAAUGGGCGCAAGCCUGAUCCAGCCAUGCCGCGUGAGUGAAGAAGGCCUU
rnacentral:rRNA from 1 species